GUUUUUCUGAAAUUCACCUUUAAUUGGUCCUCCAUAUUUUAUCUGACCGGAUUUUUUAUUUUCUGUGUUUCAUGCUGUUCGUUUUCGAGAGCAUUCCAAAUGGAUUAUUCUCCACGAUUGCUGAGCCAGGGGCUGGGACGCUCCACGCGACUGAGCAGCCACUUGACUUGAGCUCUCGUCUCCCUCUAGUGGCCGCCAAGGAUAUCUUCACCGAGCCCUCUCGUGGCCACCAACAGGGCUUCCAGACCUGGUACCGGGUUUGAUCUCCAGAACUGGGAAAACAAAAGAGAAAUGAAUGCAGCUAUCAAGUUCGAGAAGGGUGGAGAUGCGUAUCUGUCAUCGGUAAGGUGUCUUUCAAUUAAUAGGUAAUAUCGAAAUGAAUUGACAUUGGAAUAUC
rnacentral:lncRNA from 1 species